AGACAUUCCCACCACUUGAGGAUAUCAGGUGUGAUGUCGAUAAAAUGUUGUAGCCAAGCAGGGACGAGAGAUGGGAUGACCCAUGAGGUUGAAACAUUUGUCA